GUUAUAGGAUCAAGCGAAUAAGUGCAUAUGAUGGAUGCCUUGGCGAUCACAGGCGAUGAAGGACGCGGUAGCCUGCGAAAAGCUACGGGGAGCUGGCAAACAAGCUUUGAUCCGUAGAUGUCCGAAUGGGGAAACCCACCGUAGUAAUACGGUAUCCCAUGCUGAAUACAUAGGCAUGUGGAGGCGAACCGAGUGAACUGAACCAUCUCAGUAACUCGAGGAAAAGAAAUCAACCGAGAUUCCGGAAGUAGUGGCGAGCGAAACCGGACCAGCCUGGAUGUUUUAGCGUAGUGAAUAGUCGAAUGGAAUGGAAAGUCCAGCCGUAGCAGGUGAUAGCCCUGUAGGCGAAAUUCAGUACGUGGAACUAAGCAUCGAACAAGUAGGGCGGGACACGUGAAAUCCUGUCUGAAUAUGGGGGGACCAUCCUCCAAGGCUAAAUACUCGUGAUCGACCGAUAGUGAACCAGUACCGUGAGGGAAAGGCGAAAAGAACCCCGGAAGGGGAGUGAAAUAGAUCCUGAAAUCGUAUGCAUACAAACAGUAGGAGCACCUUCGUGGUGUGACUGCGUACCUUUUGUAUAAUGGGUCAGCGACUUACAUUCAGUGGCAAGCUUAACCGAAUAGGGGAGGCGUAGCGAAAGCGAGUCCGAAUAGGGCGAUUCAGUCGCUGGGUGUAGACCCGAAACCAGGCGAUCUAUCCAUGGCCAGGUUGAAGGCACGGUAACACGUGCUGGAGGACCGAACCCACUAAUGUUGAAAAAUUAGGGGAUGAGCUGUGGAUCGGAGUGAAAGGCUAAACAAGCCUGGAGAUAGCUGGUUCUCUCCGAAAACUAUUUAGGUAGUGCCUCGUAUAUUACUGCCGGGGGUAGAGCACUGUUAUGGCUAGGGGGUCACAGCGACUUACCAACCCAUGGCAAACUCCGAAUACCGGCAAGUACAGUACGGGAGACAGAGCACCGGGUGCUAACGUCCGGACUCAAGAGGGAAACAACCCAGACCGCCAGCUAAGGUCCCUAACUAUGGCUAAGUGGGAAACGAAGUGGGAAGGCAUAGACAGUCAGGAGGUUGGCUUAGAAGCAGCCAUCCUUUAAAGAAAGCGUAAUAGCUCACUGAUCGAGUCGUC
rnacentral:rRNA from 1 species